rnacentral:rRNA from 1 species
UACGAAGGGGGCUAGCGUUGCUCGGAAUUACUGGGCGUAAAGAGCUCGUAGGCGGUGUGUCGCGUCGGCCGUGAAAACCUGGGGCUCAACUCUGGGCGUGCGGUCGAUACGGGCAUCACUUGAGUUCGGCAGGGGAGACUGGAAUUCCUGGUGUAGCGGUGAAAUGCGCAGAUAUCAGGAGGAACACCGGUGGCGAAGGCGGGUCUCUGGGCCGAUACUGACGCUGAGGAGCGAAAGCAUGGGUAGCGAACAGG